UACAGAGGUCCCAAGCGUUGUUCGGAUUCACUGGGCGUAAAGGGUGCGUAGGCGGUCGGGUAAGUCUGAUGUGAAAUCUCACAGCUUAACUGUGAAACUGCAUUGGAUACUAUCCGGCUCGAGGAAUGGAGGGGAGACUGGAAUACUUGGUGUAGCAGUGAAAUGCGCAGAUAUCAGGAGGAACACCGGUGGCGAAAGCGGCUCACUGGACCAUUACUGACGCUGAGGCACGAAAGCUAGGGGAGCAAACAGG
rnacentral:rRNA from 1 species